GCGGAGGUGGCGAAAUUGGCAGACGCACAGCCUUGAGGUGGCUGCGCCCGCAAGGGCAUGGGGGUUCAAGUCCCCCUCUCCGCACCA
rnacentral:tRNA from 1 species